GUGAAAUUGUUGAAAGGGAAGCGCUUGCAGCCAGACUUGCCUGCGAUGCUCAGCCGGGCUUCUGCCCGGUGCACUCGUCCGCAGGCAGGCCAGCAUCAGUUCGGGCGGCUGGAUAAAGGCCCCGGGAAUGUGGCUCCCUCCGGGGAGUGUUAUAGCCCGGAGCGCAAUGCAGCCAGCCCGGACUGAGGUCCGCGCAUCUGCUAGGAUGCUGGCGUAAUGGCUGUAAGCGGCCCGUCUUGAAACACGGACCAAGGAGUC
rnacentral:rRNA from 1 species